UGGUGGACCAGUACGGUAAUUCCCAGAAGAUGCUUUGCUUCACCCAUUUAUGAGUUCUACCAAAUCCUUGAGGCUUUUGCUUGUCAAAUAGCAUGCCAAACUAGUCAUCAUCCAGUUGGGAUAUGCUCUAAAAUACCUUCGUACCAUUAAGGUGCGAGGAUACAUGGUCCUUUUCCAUCUUAUUUCUCUUGAAAAUAUCCCACUGCUUUCAAAAAGGAUAAUGCUCGGGAAGGAAUUAACGAUGACAAUCAAACCAGCA
rnacentral:lncRNA from 1 species